rnacentral:rRNA from 1 species
UUCCGUAGGUGAACCUGCGGAAGGAUCAUUAAAGAGUAAGGGUGCUCAGCGCCCGACCUCCAACCCUUUGUUGUUAAAACUACCUUGUUGCUUUGGCGGGACCGCUCGGUCUCGAGCCGCUGGGGAUUCGUCCCAGGCGAGCGCCCGCCAGAGUUAAACCAAACUCUUGUUAUUAAACCGGUCGUCUGAGUUAAAAUUUUGAAUAAAUCAAAACUUUCAACAACGGAUCUCUUGGUUCUCGCAUCGAUGAAGAACGCAGCGAAAUGCGAUAAGUAAUGUGAAUUGCAGAAUUCAGUGAAUCAUCGAAUCUUUGAACGCACAUUGCGCCCCUUGGUAUUCCGAGGGGCAUGCCUGUUCGARCGUCAUUACACCACUCAAGCUAUGCUUGGUAUUGGGUGCCGUCCUUAGUUGGGCGCGCCUUAAAGACCUCGGCGAGGCCUCACCGGCUUUAGGCGUAGUAGAAUUUAUUCGAACGUCUGUCAAAGGAGAGGACUUCUGCCGACYGAACCUUUUAUUUUUCUAGGUUGACCUCGGAUCAGGUAGGGAUACCCGCUGAACUUAAGCAUAUCAAUAAGCGGAGGAA